UUGAUCCCUGCUGUGCCGAAGCUAACGCAUUAAGUUCCCCGCCUGGGAGUACGGUCGCAAGGCUAAAACUCAAAGGAAUUGACGGGGGCCCCGCACAAGCGGUGGAGCAUGUGGUUCAAUUCGAUGCAACGCGAAAAACCUUACCUGGGUUUGACAUCCUUUGACAGUCCCUGAAAGGGGAUCUUCCCGAUUUAUCGGGACAAAGUGACAGGUGCUGCAUGGCUGUCGUCAGCUCGUGUCGUGAGAUGUUGGGUUAAGUCCCGCAACGAGCGCAACCCUUGUCUUUAGUUGCCAAUAUUAAGUUAGGCACUCUAAUGAUACUGCCCCGGUUAACGGGGAGGAAGGUGGGGAUGACGUCAAGUCCUCAUGGCCUUUAUACCCAGGGCUACACACGUGCUACAAUGGGCUAUACAAAGGGCUGCCACUCUGCAAAGAGGAGCUAAUCCCAAAAAGUAGUCCUAAGUUCGGAUUGGAGUCUGCAACUCGACUCCAUGAAGCUGGAAUCGCUAGUAACCGUGGAUCAGCAUGCCACGGUGAAUACGUUCCCGGGCCUUGUACACACCGCCCGUCACACCACGAAAGU
rnacentral:rRNA from 1 species